CCUCCUGCUGAUCAAAAGGCUUACCAAAAACAUAAACAGUUGAAUAACACAUUUUGUAUGUUAUAUGAAUUAUCUACUGUAUUCUU